AGCGAACGCUGGCGGCAGGCUUAACACAUGCAAGUCGAGCGGGCACUUCGGUUUCAGCGGCAGACGGGUGAGUAACACGUGGGAACGUACCCUUCGGUUCGGAAUAACGCUGGGAAACUAGCGCUAAUACCGGAUACGCCCUUUUGGGGAAAGGUUUACUGCCGAAGGAUCGGCCCGCGUCUGAUUAGCUAGUUGGUGGGGUAAAGGCUCACCAAGGCGACGAUCAGUAGCUGGUCUGAGAGGACGAUCAGCCACACUGGGACUGAGACACGGCCCAGACUCCUACGGGAGGCAGCAGUGGGGAAUUUUGGACAAUGGGCGAAAGCCUGAUCCAGCAAUGCCGCGUGUGUGAAGAAGGCCUUCGGGUUGUAAAGCACUUUUGUCCGGAAAGAAAUGGCUCUGGUUAAUACCUGGGGUCGAUGACGGUACCGGAAGAAUAAGGACCGGCUAACUACGUG
rnacentral:rRNA from 1 species